rnacentral:lncRNA from 1 species
CUUUGCAUAAUAUUUAUAAUUAGUACAUAUUUUUCACAAAUUAAUCAUAAUACAAAUCAUUUUUUCUAAACAGGGUUUAGAGACAAACUUUGGAGAUGUGAUUCAAAAAAUGCAAAACAUUGAAUGAGUAUUCUAUGUGAAAGCGACUCAAACGGAACAUAAUUCAUCUAAUUACAAGUUUGACAUCAUCUCUAUGACAGAUUUGGAACAUUUGAUUGCAGAACAUCACCACCACCAACACCAAGGAAAAGUCAAUUCCAGGAAAAGUGUUGAUGUGGAUGCUGAGGAAGAUUGGUCACCUCUAGCAAAAAAAGCUCUUUUCAAGUCUAUUGAACAUAACUCAUUUUCAAGAAUAAAUUUUGAAGAAAGCAUAGAUUCAAAUUUUUUUUUUUGGCUCAAAUCCAUUUACUUCAAAGGAAAAAAUGGAGUAGAAAAUGAUUGAGCUGUUUUAGUGAAAUGGCUCCAACAUGUCCACCCCUUACUCUUGUUACCUUUUUUAUAUGAAUGUAUUUAGAAACUGAUGAAAACAUGUUAGUGUUGAAAAAUGAUGCAUGUCAAACAUGAUAAUUACAUCAUUCAUGCUAAGAACACAACAAGUUCUUAUUUUACCUUUUGUGUUGCUGGACUGCUACAAUUUUUGCAAAUAUCAGCAGUAAUGGAAUUAGUUUCUAUUUUACUCCCCAGAAUUUGUUUCUUUUCUCUCCCUUCUUUCAGUUAUAUUGAAAUUUAAAUUGGAAUUCAUGAAAUUCUUUCUCAAUUUACAACUGCACAGGUCACUUUUCAAAGUACAAAUAUAGCCUCUCCAAUUGAGCUUGCUUAAGAAAAACAUUUUGCGAAGUUCAAGUUACAACUUAUUCACAAUAUCAAAUAAAAAAAGUCAAUUCUUCAUCUACUCUAAUCUAAACUAAAAAAAAUACCAAUCAAUAAGUAAUUAACUUUUCACUUACGCACCUAAACAGAUGCAACCUAAUUGCACAAGAUCAUUACAUCAUUGAUUAUGUUUAUUUAUAAAACAAAAUAAAAAAAAAUUAUCAUUGACAUACAAUAUACAAUUGACAUAUUGAUUAUAUUUAUUUAUAAAAAUAAAAAAAUUGUCAUUAACAUACAAUAUACAAUCAACAAAAGAAUGACAAUCAAGCAAACAUUUCACACCUUCAAAUACUUUUUGUAAAAUCUACAAAUUCUACGCAAAUAACAACAAAA